ACAUCCCAUAAAACAGAGUUCAAUGGAUUAAUACAUGUUCAGACUAUGUGGGAGCCCCCAGGUGCUUCCCCUGGGGGAGGCA